GGCAAACGGGUGAGUAACACGUGGGUUACCUACCUCUAAGUUGGGGAUAACAGUUGGAAACGAUUGCUAAUACCGAAUGUGCUCUACGGAGUAAAGAAGCCUUUAAAGCUUCGCUUAGAGAUGGGCCUGCGUCGCAUUAGCUAGUUGGUAGGGUAAUGGCCUACCAAGGCGACGAUGCGUAGGGGGACUGAGAGGUUAACCCCCCACACUGGGACUGAGACACGGCCCAGACUCCUACGGGAGGCGGCAGUGAGGAAUAUUGGACAAUGGAUGGAAAUCUGAUCCAGCCAUGCCGCGUGCAGGAAGACGGCCUUAUGGGUUGUAAACUGCUUUUAUACGGGAGCAAUAAGGGUUACGAGUAAUCCGAUGAGAGUACUGUAUGAAUAAGGAUCGGCUAACUCCGUGCCAGCAGCCGCGGUAAUACGGAGGAUCCGAGCGUUAUCCGGAAUUAUUGGGUUUAAAGGGUGCGUAGGCGGCCAUUUAAGUCAGCGGUGAAAUUUUGCAGCUUAACUGUAACAGUGCCGUUGAUACUGUUUGGCUAGGAUUUGGUUGUAGUGUGCGGAAUGUGUGGUGUAGCGGUGAAAUGCUUAGAUAUCACACAGAACACCGAUUGCGAAGGCAGCACACUAAGUCAUUAUUGACGCUGAGGCACGAAAGUGUGGGGAUCAAACAGGAUUAGAUACCCUGGUAGUCCACACCGUAAACGAUGAUAACUCGCUGUCGGCGAUACACAGUCGGUGGCCAAGCGAAAGCAUUAAGUGAUCCACCUGGGGAGUACGAUCGCAAGGUUGAAACUCAAAGGAAUUGACGGGGGCCCGCACAAGCGGCGGAGCAUGCGGAUUAAUUCGAUGCAACGCGAAGAACCUUACCAAGGCUUGACAUACACCGGAAUCAUGCAGAGAUGUGUGAGUCUUCGGACUGGUGUACAGGUGGUGCAUGGUUGUCGUCAGCUCGUGUCGUGAGAUGUUGGGUUAAGUCCCGCAACGAGCGCAACCCUUGUCUCGUGUUGCCAGCAUUUAGUUGGGGACUCACGAGAGACUGCCGGGGUUAACUCGGAGGAAGGUGGGGAUGACGUCAAAUCAUCAUGCCCCUUAUGUCUUGGGCUUCACGCAUGCUACAAUGGCAAGUACAGAGUGUUGCGAGCCUGUGAGGGUGAGCGAAUCACUUAAAGCUUGUCUCAGUUCGGAUUGGGGUCUGCAACUCGACCCCAUGAAGUCGGAGUCGCUAGUAAUCGCAGAUCAGCAACGCUGCGGUGAAUACGUUCCCGGGCCUUGUACUCACCGCCCGUCAAG
rnacentral:rRNA from 1 species